UACGUAGGGUGCAAGCGUUAAUCGGAAUUACUGGGCGUAAAGCGUGCGCAGGCGGUUAUGCAAGACAGAGGUGAAAUCCCCGGGCUCAACCUGGGAACUGCCUUUGUGACUGCAUAGCUAGAGUACGGUAGAGAGGGAUGGAAUUCCGCGUGUAGCAGUGAAAUGCGUAGAGAUGCGGAGGAACACCGAUGGCGAAGGCAGCCCCCUGGGCCAAUACUGACGCUCAGGCACGAAAGCGUAGGGAGCAAACAGG
rnacentral:rRNA from 1 species